rnacentral:rRNA from 1 species
UACGGAGGGUGCAAGCGUUAUCCGGAUUUACUGGGCGUAAAGAGUGCGUAGGCGGUUCGUUAUGUCUGCUGUGAAAGCCCCGGGCUUAACCCGGGAAUGGCAGUGGAAACUGGCGGGCUUGAGUGUGGCAGAGGGGGGUGGAAUUCCGCGUGUAGCAGUGAAAUGCGUAGAGAUGCGGAGGAACACCGAUGGCGAAGGCAGCCCCCCUGGGCUAACACUGACGCUGAGGCACGAAAGCGUGGGGAGCAAACAGG